UUAUAAAAGUAUUGGAGUUUUCUUUUCUAUUAUUCUAGCUAGAAGUUCUUGAAGUAUUGUACCUGAGUUCAUUGGAAGGUGAGUUUAUUAGUUAACAGUUGGUUAAAUGCUGUUAGCUUCUCUUACUACUUCUCAUCCUUGGCUAACUGUCAUCCUAAUCUUUUCGGAUUAGAAACGUGUUUUGGAAUUAACUAGCUGUAUAUAUUGCAUUUCUUACUUGCUAUAUUUCUUUUAUUAAGACUGCUUCUAAUUCCUUUUCUCCUUUCUUUUGCAUGAACGCACAUGGGAGAAUAUUGGAGUUAUGGCAACUCCAAGUUCAGCCCGGCAUUAGGAGUAAACAGUAGCUGCGGUUUUGUUCGAGCUAGCAGUCCCAUCUCAUUCGUGUCUCGAGUCCAUAUCCCUUCUCCUUCCUUCAAAAUUAUCGUGUCCUUAUAUUAUCAUAUGCACAUGUUUGUUUACAACUCUUGACUAACGCUUUUGUGGUUUGUAUUUACGAGCUUGUGUUUGUAGCC